UCGGUGACUGUUCAUGACACAUACUAGAAUUUUUAUGCUUACAAUUAAUUUCAAGUGAUGAAAAUUAACUAGAUAGUCCAUUUUAUGCUAAAAUAGUGCGUUAAUUGAUUCAAAAUUUUAAAAAUUUGCCACAAUUUUUAUUUUUGGAUUUUUAUUUUUUAUUGAUGGACGAAGAUAAUUGAAUGAUUUAUUCCAGUAGUCAAAUGUGCCAAUAUAAGUAAAUUGAGAAGCAGGUCGUACCGAACCACGUGAUUUUGUAGCGGAUUGUCAUGAUGCAUUGGAAUUAGUGCUAUAACUGAUCAGCACUAUACUCGGCUCCACACCUCCUAUAUAUAAAAAAGAUUUGAUGGAUCGGGAGGAAAAUCAAUAAGUCGAUAGUUCACUAUCCAGAAGCAGUGCUUAUGCAACGAUUUUGAAAAUUCAGCUCAAUCUCUCAAAGAGGUCUGAAAAAUUCUAAGAAAUAUACAGUUGUGGAGACAGAAGGAAAAAUCUGCAAAGCAUAAUUCAAAAUUUGCAGAAAUUGAAGCCCAUCCGCCAACUCUACCUUUGAUUUUAAAUUAGGUAGAUUUAAUCAAAACUGCUAAAUUUAUUUUAUUGAAAUUUUAUUAGGUAGAUAAGGAUUUUCUGAAGGUGGAGGGAGGGCUUUUGUUGAUGGGAGCUGGUGAGUUGAUACCCAAACCGUAUAAAAAAGGUGGUCGAAUUGAUUCCCACCUCGAAAUUUCAAGUGUGAUUCCCACCUCAAAAUUUCAAGUAUACGAAUUGAUUCCUACCUCAAAUUUUCAAGUGUACGUACAUUUGGAAAUUUGAGGUAGGAAUCAAUUCGUACACUUGGAAUUUUGAGGUGGGAAUCAAUUCGUACACUUCUAUCUUUAAAAAAAUCAAGUGGGAAUCAACUCACCUGUAUCCCUGUUGACAGUAUUAAAUAAGUAGGUAUUUAGGUUUAGGUAUAGGUAUAGUAUAAGUUUUUUAAGGGUCCGAAUGAACCAUUUUAAACAGGUUAGUGACAGGGUGCGUCGUCACUUAUUUUAAGUUCAAGUUGGGUAAUUUUAUUAUUAAGUUUAAUUUUAAUUGUUUUUUAUUGUGGACUAUUUUUUAAUUUUAUUAUUUAAAUUUGUUAUUGUGGAGGAACCCGGUGAUAUAUUUUUAAAAAUUUUAUUUUAUA